CCAGGAGAUUGAAAAUUAUUCACAGGAAAAACAGUUUGUUUUGAGGCAAACAAAAUCAACAUUCAAUUAAAUAAAAAAGAGAGUUAAGGAAUUUACGUGCUUUUCCAUGCAUUGUAAGAUUUCCAGAAUAUAGAACAUGUAGUUCCUGAUAAAAAAAAAACACCAAAAGAUUGCUACGAUAAAACUGUUUAGUAACUAUUUGUAAUACAGAAUGCAUCAAGAUGGUGGUAUGCUACAUAUAUAAUAUUGAUACUAUGACAGAUGAGAAAAGAAACUGAAGACAUUACCAAAUGCUGAAGUCAGCAAAGAUUAAGAUAUAAGGAGUAGAUAUUUUCCUGAAGAUCUCAUUUAUGUCUCGAAGAUGUGAAGGGAACAGAAGCUAUCAUGAUGAUUCUUUAAAGAAAAGAUACAGAAACACAAGCUCCUGUAGACACUUAUGCAAAAGAAGAUGUUUUUGCAAUGAAUAUGUGUGAAUGUGAUAAAUUAUGGCAAAUCAACAAUAACAAUAUGUUCUACAAAUUUCCUAGAUUUAUAAGUUUCAUAACAUUUAGUUGAGGCAAACUAAAGUUAGAUAAUGGAAAACGA